GUGCAGAUGUAAGAAUACUUCUGGAUAUAACAAAGGAAGCAUCACCAUUUCUUUCAGUUGAAGUAUAAUAUCUUCCAGUCCUCCUAUGGAAUUGAAAUCAAGAUUUUCCCUAUUGGCAAAAGGGUCAGUACUUCUAAUCGUCUUUUCGUCUAUGUGACCAAAGUGAAGUUGAGAGGAGGGAGCAUUCUCAAUAUCUGAACUAGCGCCCAAAUUAUUGUAAGCAUUAAGUCCUUCAACGUCGGAAGUUUGCUCUGAACUUGUACUGCUCAACUCACUCGUUUCAUCACUAUCGCAAGUACUUUGAUAACCGAUGGGAAGAGUAGCAAAAUCUUUCAUAGGCAAUUUUGGCGGAUUAUAAGUAAUCUUCGUUGUUGAAGGAUUUGGGGAAGAUGCAAUUUCGUUGUAAUAGUCAAAUAAAUGAUAAUUCGGUCGAUUGUCACGACUACGAAGUUUGCGUCGGAAAUCUGGUGAAUUUCGCUCAGCGCGAAGAGGACUCAUUGCCUUCUUGACCCUUAAAUUUUUUUUAACUGGCAAAAUUGGACCUCUCAUUUUUCUUUUUCUACGUCCUCUUCUACUUGGAAUGGGUGAGCGCACUUUUGUCAAAUCAUCAGGGCUAUCCGCGAAGUCAGAAUCACUGGCGUUCGAAGACUCAGGAUCACUUUGUCCAUCUACGUAGUCUUCAUCUAAAUAAUCACCAUUUGUUGAUUCUGUUGGAGCUUUUGGAUACGAAAAGGUUUUUGAAGAAGUAAGAUAUGAUUUCGGACUUAUCAAAUCGUCUUCUUCAUCCUUAAAGGUAGUGGAUUCGUCCUCAUUAUUAUCAGUGUCUAGCUCUUUAUCAUUUCCUUCCAUUUGAAGGUUACUACUUCCAUUUCUGAUACCAUCAAUUUGAUGUUCAGUACUCUUCUUUCCCAAUGAUGCAUCAUUGAAUGCCGCAGAAGGCUUUGAAGGAUUUUCUAUAGAAACAGAAAAAGAAGGCGUUUCUGUGUUUAGAUGUUUCUGUAACGAAGAGAAUUUUCUAUUUCUUUGAGUUUCACGCACUGAAACUAACUUUUGUUUAUAGGAGGAAGGAUCAAAAUGUGAAACUUUUAUAUGAUUUGAAUGAUCCUCUGAUUUUUCGCUGUGUGCGUUGGAGUAAUAAUCAUCAUCUUCUUCAUUAUCUUCAUUAUCGUCAGAACUAAAACGAAUGGAUCUGGCCCUUCUGCGCAUUGCACGCAAAAUGCACUGCUGGCACCAACAAAUUAAGACGUUGUCAACUUGGUUAAGACAAUUUG